GAUGAACGCUGGCGGCGUGCCUAAUACAUGCAAGUCGAGCGAAUGGAUUAAGAGCUUGCUCUUAUGAAGUUAGCGGCGGACGGGUGAGUAACACGUGGGUAACCUGCCCAUAAGACUGGGAUAACUCCGGGAAACCGGGGCUAAUACCGGAUAACAUUUUGAACCGCAUGGUUCGAAAUUGAAAGGCGGCUUCGGCUGUCACUUAUGGAUGGACCCGGGUCGCAUUAGCUAGUUGGUGAGGUAACGGCUCACCAGGGCAACGAUGCGUAGCCGACCUGGGAGGGUGAGCGGCCAAACUGGGACUGAGACACGGCCCAGACUCCUACGGGAGGCAGCAGUAGGGAAUCUUCCGCAAUGGACGAAAGUCUGACGGAGCAACGCCGCGUGAGUGAUGAAGGCUUUCGGGUCGUAAAACUCUGUUGUUAGGGAAGAACAAGUGCUAGUUGAAUAAGCUGGCACCUUGACGGUACCUAACCAGAAAGCCACGGCUAACUACGUGCCAGCCGCCGCCGUAA
rnacentral:rRNA from 1 species